CCAUGCCGCGUGUCUGAAGAAGGCCUUCGGGUUGUAAAGGACUUUGUCAGGGAGCAAAACUUACUGGUUAAUACCCGGUGAGGCUGAGAGUACCUGAAGAAUAAGCACCGGCUAACUACGUGCCAGCAGCCGCGGUAAUACGUAGGGUGCAAGCGUUAAUCGGAAUUACUGGGCGUAAAGCGUGCGCAGGCGGACUUUUAAGCCAGAUGUGAAAGCCCCGAGCUUAACUUGGGAAUUGCGUUUGGAACUGGGAGUCUAGAGUCUGUCAGAGGGGGAUGGAAUUCCACGUGUAGCAGUGAAAUGCGUAGAGAUGUGGAGGAACACCGAUGGCGAAGGCAGUCCCCUGGGAUAAGACUGACGCUCAUGCACGAAAGCGUGGGGAGCAAACAGGAUUAGAUACCCUGGUAGUCCACGCCCUAAACGAUGUCUACUAGUUGUUGGGGUAGCAAUACCUCAGUGACGCAGCUAACGCGUGAAGUAGACCGCCUGGGGAGUACGGUCGCAAGAUUAAAACUCAAAGGAAUUGACGGGG
rnacentral:rRNA from 1 species